rnacentral:lncRNA from 1 species
CAGAGCUCACAGUAACUUGUGUUGGAGGAGGACAACCAUUUUUCCAGGCAGCUCUUGUGCACGGUGCCCAGAGUUCCUGUGCAGUCACACGGGGAAAGCAGUCCCUCCCCAUUUCCACCUUCGUGACAGAUUCGACAGAUGGGACCAUCACUCUGCGCGCCCAGCGCCUUGAUGACGGUGGAGAGCAGGCGGCCGUUCUUGGCGGUGACCUGGGUGAUGUACUGCGGCCGCCCGAGGUCCGAAUCCUCCACCGACUUGGAGAGCGCGGCGCUGCCCGGGCAGUCGCACAGAGAGCCGGGCAGGUGGCAGCAGUCGCCCGUCGUCAUCGCAGCUCCGCACCCCUCUGCCGCGGGGACCUGCAGUCCCGGCCCCGCGGCCCCUCAGCGCGCGGCGCGCCGCCCCAUCGCCGGUCCUG